UAGGGUUCAUCAAAUGGCUAAUAGGCGAAAGGUAGAUACCCAUGACGAUAGAUUCAAAAACUGGGUCAAUCCACUCUCGUGACAGAGACCCCCAUAACUCUACCACUUCCUAAUCUCAACUCUCGUUGAUGAAACAUAGAAGAGCAGGGUUUAAGAAACAAUCUACCAAAGCCAAUAGGCAAACAAGCCAAUCCCUUGAUCGAGUCUACAUAUCUCUGGAAUUCGUAGGUCAGACAUCCAUUUGAACGUCUUUUGGACGUUGGACGUCUUUGAUCAAAUCUCCACAUUAGCCAGCGAAAACCGCAUAGGGGCCAAGCGAAUCCAGAAGGGUAUAAACCUAAACAUUAACCACCUAACUAACCUAGAGAUUACCCUAAUCUAAUCCAUCCUCAAGAACCCUAAUCACUACUCAAGCAACAUUCUCAAGAACACAAACU
rnacentral:sRNA from 1 species